AACGUAGGAGACGAACGUUAUCCGGAGUUACUGGGCGUAAAGGGCGUGUAGGCGGUAUGUUAAGUCUGGCGUGAAAGCUCUCGGCUAAACCGGGAGAGGUCGUUGGAUACUGGCAUACUAGAGGAUGGUAGAGGCGUGUGGAAUUCCGGGUGUAGUGGUGAAAUGCGUAGAGAUCCGGAGGAACACCAAUGGCGAAGGCGACACGCUGGGCCAUACCUGACGCUAAAGCGCGACAGCAUGGGGAGCAAACGGG
rnacentral:rRNA from 1 species